CCCGGCUGCGGGCGCGUGUGUGCCGAGGCACCGGCGAGCUCUUCAGAUGCUCCCGAUGGGCAGGGGGAAGCGCUGGCGGUCUGCACUCCCGCCUUUGGACGCCUAUGGGUGAGGGGCACAGCCAGCUCAUCACUCCUCUUACAGCCUGGGGCCGAGGCCUCACAUAGCAACCUCAUGCCUGAAAUGUUUUAGACAUGGGUAAUCGCACCUAAAUGUGAAGCAAUGCUCAGGAUUUCUUAGGAAUAAAUAAUGCCUUCUACUGGAAGGGAUGAAAACAACAUGUGCCAGGAGCUGAUGUUAAACAGCAGUUUAUGAUUUCCUGAGUGGGUGAUUUCUGACUUGGUACGGGAUGACUGCAGUUGUCACUUCUAAGUAUUGUCUUGGAAGUAGAAUUGGGACAAGUGAUGGCUAAAAUUGUCUUUGAUGAUCAUGUUGAAACAGGCAUCUCACUGUUUGUUGAAAAAGGUUUCCUAACAAAAACUGCUGUAAUUUGAUUGUGUUUGUGGAUUGGUUGAAAUAAACUGAGUAUUAAUUGAAAUAAAAUAUAAGUAUGC